rnacentral:piRNA from 2 species
UGUCAAAGAAACAAUAACUGGAUCCUAUGA